GGACAUGCUGCUUCCACGAACGUUACCUAAUCUUUAGCUCACAAAAGCAAAAGUGAUGUGGCCCUGAGCUUCUGUGAGUAAUUUCGCUGACAGCCACACCCCUGGAUAUAUGACAACCUGGUGUGACCUCAAACCUUGAUGUGAAAGGACCACAUAGCUCACAAAUGAAUCACAAGGGCUGCAUGCGAAAAAGCUGUGAGUGGAGGGAAAGCAAUCUGAUCGUAUCCAGCAUUUUCCACUAAGUGAGCAGCAAAAUUGGACAGCUGGUGACUGAAAAGGGGUUGUCUCCCUGUCUCCGCACUUUUCAUCAUUUCCUUGGCUGGUCAGGUGGACCUGCGGCUAUAAUGACCUCUGACGGCAGCCC